UAGUCAUCCACCUCGUCGCUGUGAAAAUUACUGAAGUAAAGUUGUCAGAUUAAUUACUCGCGACCGUUGUCCGCACGAGAUUAUCGAGAUGAGUCUGCAUGUAACAAUUACCGGAAAAGCUAAUUAUAUUAAGAAUUGGACACCUGAAACAAAUAUUUCGCAACUAAUUGAAAUAUUAAAUUGCAAUUCACGUUAAAGAUAAUUAUUUCGUAUUGUGCAAAAGCAAUCAAUUACUCCUUAAAUCUGACACAUACGGCUCUUAUUCUGUAUCAUCAUUUCGUAAGACUUUAUCUGAACGCUACAAACUGACCGUGACAAUGACGCAGCUAAAUUUCGACGUUGAUACGCGUGACGAUAACAGUAAUGAAAAGACACUUAAAAUGUUUAAGCUAAUCCAAAAUGCUAUUCCGAGACCUUGAGCACAUCGAGAAGAAUGAUUUAAAUCAAUCAAUUUGACCCCAAUUUUAGUCGUCAAUGAAUACGUUACGCACAAACACACCAAUACAGACGAAAUGAGAGGAAAAGGAAGGAGUGAUACCACAUUGUGUAAUUGUUGUACAUAUCUAAAUACAUUGUAUGCAAUCUGCUCAUCUUUAUA